CCCUUAGAUGUUCUGGGCUGCACGCGCGCUACACUGAUGCACUCAACGAGUUUACGACCUUGCCCGAUAGGGUUGGGUAAUCUUUUUAAAAUGCAUCGUGAUGGGGAUAGAUUAUUGCAAUUAUUAAUCUUCAACGAGGAAUUCCUAGUAAGCGCGAGUCAUCAGCUCGUGCUGAUUACGUCCCUGCCCUUUGUACACACCGCCCGUCGCUCCUACCGAUUGAGUGCUCAGGUGAAUAAUUCGGACUGCAGCAAUGUUUGGAUCCCGAACGUUGCAGCGGAAAGUUUAGUGAACCUUAUCACUUAGAGGAAUGAGAAGUCGUAACA
rnacentral:rRNA from 1 species